GACGAACGCUGGCGGCGUGCUUAACACAUGCAAGUCGAACGGUGAAGCGCCUUCCUUUUUGGUGGGUGUGGAUGAGUGGCGAACGGGUGAGUAACACGUGAGUAACCUGCCCCCUUCUUCUGGAUAACCGCAUGAAAGUGUGGCUAAUACGGGAUAUUCUGGGUCUGUCGCAUGAUGGGUCUGGGAAAGAUAUUGUUUCGGUGGGGGAUGGGCUCGCGGCCUAUCAGCUUGUUGGUGGGGUGAUGGCCUACCAAGGCGGUGACGGGUAGCCGGCCUGGGAGGGUGGCCGGUCACACUGGGACUGAGACCCGGCCCAGACUCCUACGGGAGGCAGCAGUGGGGAAUAUUGCACAAUGGGCGCAAGCCUGAUGCAGCGACGCCGCGUGAGGGAUGGAGGCCUGCGGGUUGUGAACCUCUUUCGCCAGUGAAGCAGGCCUGCCUCGUUUGUGGGUGGGUUGACGGUAGCUGGAUAAGAAGCGCCGGCUAACUACGUG
rnacentral:rRNA from 1 species